UUUUUCAGAUCCUUCACCAAUGGUGCCACGAAACAAUCUUCCACAAAGAGUCUUUUGGAUACAUCUAUCGGAAUUGAAAUUAUCAGUAAUCUCUUGCAACUCGGCGUAGCUACAAAGCUUCACCCCACCAACUGUUUCUGUCCCUAUUGAGAAGUCGAACCUGCAUUUUCGCAAUAUGUCAGGGAAGAAAGAAGCAUAUAUAUAUAUAUAUAUAGCUUGUUAACAGGUCGAGUGCUCACUUGAGACAUAGAAAUCAAUGUACAAAGCACGCAUCAUAUACCUUUCGUAUUGAUCGCACUCAUGAACAAAAUCCUGUAGAGAUCUUUUCAGAAAGUCAUAGUUAUGGUUAAGAGGAGAACGGCAAUCAGGAGAUUCAUGAUAGUUGAAAUAAAUGUAAAAAUAGGGAAGAAAUCCCCAUUCAUCCAAUUCCAGCUUCUUCAUCAUCAUCAUAAGACCUUCAUCCUCAUCUACCUUGUCUGUCAUCGUUUCUAGUCUAGGGCACACAACCAAAAACAGGUGGAAAUGGGAACAAUUUUGGGGGUUUUAUGUGACCAUGUGACCCGACCCGCUUCUUCCUUUUUUUUUUUUUUUUUCCCUUUUUUUUUUAUAUAUAUAUAUAUAUAUAGCUUGUUAACAGGUCGAGUGCUCACUUGAGAC
rnacentral:lncRNA from 1 species